GCCCCUCCCCAGCCUCUUGCUCCAAGCCUGCACUUUUGGCAGGACCCCCUCGAGGCAGUUAAUUAAAAAAUCAGUGUUUGCCUUUAUAUUGGAAAAGAGAUUUUUGCCCCCUCUGUAAGUGAUAAGUGUUUCAGCUGAGCCUGGUGAGGUAUCUGGGGCUGGAAGAGUUGCUUUUACUAAUACAUGCCAAGAAGACUGUAAUGCUGUCUUCAUAAAAUAAGGGGAUGGGGCUAGAUGACCUCAUGGCGGUGUGUGGUGGUUCUGAUGCUCUGGCCCCAAGAACCCCUUGUCUCCGGAAGGGAGUUGCUUCCAACCAUCUGGGCCUCUUUCUCAGCUGUUUUGCCAAAAAUAAAGUAUUGGGGUUCACCCUCAGUUUUGUGAGGCCUUAGAAGCAAAUGCCAAGGCCCAUCUGUCCAGGGGCCAUGUUCUCAGGGAAAUGCUGUUAGCUACCUACAUGCCAGGGUUUCUCUUCCUCUGGCUGCCUCAUUUCUUACACUGGCGAGGGAGCUGAAUGAAAGCCUUCUCUGCACAUACAAAGAUCUGUAGACUGUCCGACACCCUUCUACUCUUUAAUCAUCAGCAUUGUCAUCGUUGCCUUCAUCUCUGACAUUUGUACAAAUCUGAUGGCUUACCAGGUACCAUCAAAUAUAUAGUCAUUUCAUUUGAGACACAAGCUCCCCUUAUGGUGGAGCUGGGGCAGGUGUAAACUUCAUUGUUUUAUAGGAAGCAGAGGCAGAGGGGUUAAUAUCAAUUUUUUUUUCCCUAAGGCCUGGUAAGGACUGGGGCCAGAACUAGAAUCCAGGUCUUUUGCUAAGCUAUCUUAUGUCUUGACCCCCCAUCAAUCCAUCCAUCCAUCCAUCCAUUCACCCACCCAUCCACCCAUCCAUCCAUCAUUCCAUCCGGCAGAUAAUUAUUAAGUGCUCAUUUCAUUCCAACCAUGUAGAUAGCUAUAGAGUAGUGAACAAAACAGGAUCUUUUCCCUGUCCCUGGCAGCUGUCCUUUCAGUGGAGAUUCUCUUUCUGGGACAUGGUGCUGUCUUUAUAGGUAGGAAGAACUGGGGAGCUGGACAUGCGGCUCUCAGAGGAACAUUUUGUUUUCACUUCUCAUCACUUCCUCCUUCCUUCUUCCCACAGCAGACAGGAUUUAGGCCAUUUUGGGAGUCCCCCACUUUCUGAUUUCUAGUACCUUUGGCAUCAUGGGCAGUGUUUGGGUGGCGGAGGAGCAGCUACUCCUUUUGGCGGGGGACACUGACAUUCCUGGGCACUGCUGCGUGCCGCUGCUGAACCAGGCACUUGGCCAACAUUCUCUUCUAAUUCAUUCCUCACACAGUUCUGAGGGGCAGUAGACAGGCUGGGUAAAGAGGCUGAGGAGAGUGCG
rnacentral:lncRNA from 10 species